rnacentral:rRNA from 1 species
AGAGUUUGAUCCUGGCUCAGGAUGAACGCUGGCGGCGUGCCUAAUACAUGCAAGUCGAACGAGUUCUCGUUGAUGAUCGGUGCUUGCACCGAGAUUCAACAUGGAACGAGUGGCGGACGGGUGAGUAACACGUGGGUAACCUGCCCUUAAGUGGGGGAUAACAUUUGGAAACAGAUGCUAAUACCGCAUAGAUCCAAGAACCGCAUGGUUCUUGGCUGAAAGAUGGCGUAAGCUAUCGCUUUUGGAUGGACCCGCGGCGUAUUAGCUAGUUGGUGAGGUAAUGGCUCACCAAGGCGAUGAUACGUAGCCGAACUGAGAGGUUGAUCGGCCACAUUGGGACUGAGACACGGCCCAAACUCCUACGGGAGGCAGCAGUAGGGAAUCUUCCACAAUGGACGCAAGUCUGAUGGAGCAACGCCGCGUGAGUGAAGAAGGCUUUCGGGUCGUAAAACUCUGUUGUUGGAGAAGAAUGGUCGGCAGAGUAACUGUUGUCGGCGUGACGGUAUCCAACCAGAAAGCCACGGCUAACUACGUGCCAGCAGCCGCGGUAAUACGUAGGUGGCAAGCGUUAUCCGGAUUUAUUGGGCGUAAAGCGAGCGCAGGCGGUUUUUUAAGUCUGAUGUGAAAGCCCUCGGCUUAACCGAGGAAGCGCAUCGGAAACUGGGAAACUUGAGUGCAGAAGAGGACAGUGGAACUCCAUGUGUAGCGGUGAAAUGCGUAGAUAUAUGGAAGAACACCAGUGGCGAAGGCGGCUGUCUGGUCUGUAACUGACGCUGAGGCUCGAAAGCAUGGGUAGCGAACAGGAUUAGAUACCCUGGUAGUCCAUGCCGUAAACGAUGAAUGCUAGGUGUUGGAGGGUUUCCGCCCUUCAGUGCCGCAGCUAACGCAUUAAGCAUUCCGCCUGGGGAGUACGACCGCAAGGUUGAAACUCAAAGGAAUUGACGGGGGCCC